AGCGAACGCUGGCGGCAGGCCUAACACAUGCAAGUCGAACGGAUCCUUCGGGAUUAGUGGCGGACGGGUGAGUGACACGUGGGAACGUGCCCUUUGGUUCGGAACAACUCAGGGAAACUUGAGCUAAUACCGGAUGUGCCCUUCGGGGGAAAGAUUUAUCGCCAUUGGAGCGGCCCGCGUCUGUUUAGCUAGUUGGUGAGGUAAGGCUCACCAAGGCGACGAUCAGUAGCUGGUCUGAGAGGAUGAUCAGCCACAUUGGGACUGAGACACGGCCCAAACUCCUACGGGAGGCAGCAGUGGGGAAUCUUGCGCAAUGGGCGAAAGCCUGACGCAGCCAUGCCGCGUGAAUGAUGAAGGUCUUAGGAUUGUAAAAUUCUUUCACCGGGGACGAUAAUGACGGUACCCGGAGAAGAAGCCCCGGCUAACUUCGUGCCAGCCGCCGCAGUAAAAC
rnacentral:rRNA from 1 species